GUCACCUGUGACCCGAAAUCGUCGAUAAGCGGGGGGCGAAGCCCUCGGGAGACUUUGGGCGCUGCGUGCUCAGUCCAGCUGUAGACAAUGAUUCUCCGUCCUGUAGGGAUAGCAUCGGUCCAUGGGAUCUCCUGAAGGAGGUCUUGUGUCCCAUAAUUGCAGGCACCGGUUCAGGCCCGGAAGGGAGCAAACCCACUGCGGGUAACUGUCGCUUGCAGGUUGAAGGGGAGGAGAACGCGGCCGGAUCAACUGGCGC
rnacentral:SRP_RNA from 1 species